GAGAGGACAAGAUGGCGGAGGAGUAGGGGGACACGCUCGCCCUCUCCCACAAACACAACAAAAAAAAAACACAUCUACAGAAGAAAUGACUCGCACAGAACAACAACCAAUCGCUGGCAGAGGAACCUAAACUCCAAUAACGGCAAGAAAUUCGUGACAUUAUUGGGCAGAACGGGAGAAAAGAGGAGAGUGAGAGAAGGUGAAUCCGAGCGGGACCGGCGCUCCCGAAAGGGAACUGCGGAGGAGAAAGGGAUCCCGCACCCUGGAAAGUCUCCUACCGGGGAAAGAUCAAACCAACCGGAGGAAUCUCCAGAUGCAGAGAAGAGUGUAGCAGUAAGUCGGAGUACGGAAAAACGAUCAAGAACCCAACGGACCAUCUGAACUACGGGCACAGUCACCAAAAAUUGAGACGCCUGGGUGGGGGCUGGGCACCGAAUCCUCGGCUCCAGAGACAGAUUCCCAGGAGGAGUGUAACACCUGCUGAUUUGACGCUUUUCCGUCUAGCCAUUCCAUGGCAUGGAACAAAAAUGACAAAUAUGGGUGAGUGUUCCCAGCUGAAGGAGGAUUGCCAGAUUUACAACAAACAAACAAAUGAAAAGCAGGACCUCGCAAUUACAUUUGAAUUUCAGGUGAAGAAUGAUCAUUUUUCAGGAUAUAUAUGUCCUAAACAUUACAUGUUUCUUGAGAAUCAAAUGAGCCUUCCCUGGGUAGCAUUCCCCAGCUGGCUUACCCCUGGAGGCUUUGCCUACUUUGAAAUAUCUCUCUUCAGAGUUCCUGUCAUGGCUCAGCGGAAGUGAGUCCGACUAGCAUCAAUAAGGACACAGGUUCGAUCCCUGGCCUCGCUCAGUGGGUUAAGGAUCGGCUGCGGUCUAGGUCUAAGACAAGGCUUGGAUCCCACAUUGCUGUGGCUGUGGCAUUGGCCAGCAGCUACAGCUCUGAUUAGGCCCCUAGCCUGGGAACCUCCAUAUGCAGCAGUGUGGCCCUAAAAAGAUAAGAAAAAAAAAAAAGAGAAAAAUCUCUAUCCUUCAAUAGUAAGUGCUCUGUCUUUGCUGCAUCCACACUUUUGUCUUUUUGGACAUUAAGGGCUAAGAGACGGAAGUAGGUCCCCAGGUUGCAAGCCUAGAAAAAGGUAUAAGUGGAAGCUUGAAAUGAAGCAUAAAUGGGUAAGACAUUAGCUGUUCCCCAUCCCUUUCCCUAGUUGCUCUUUAUAUCUUUUGCCCCAGAAAUGCAGGUCUCGGCGUCAGAGUUAUCUGCUUAAGUCUCCAAAUGUGUCACCGUGAAUUCGGAGUGAAAGUUCCAAUGGUCGUUCCUUUGCUGGUGUGCAAGCAAGUCCUCUAUCACUUUUUUCUCUUCCGGAGGUACCAGCACUGUCCCACAAGAUAGCUUGUGCUGGGGCAAUUGUUGUCUUGGUAGGGGAGAGGCUCAUUCCUGGUGCUUCCUCCUCCACCAUCUUCUUGGAAUUCUCUGGCUCCUCUGUUUUGUUUGAUUCUCAAGAACUCAGCGGAGCUGGAGCGAGCUAAGCUUCCAGGUGCUAGAGUAGCUGAAGAUGACAAGCCCAAACAAAAGAAACAGUCAAUCAAGCCUUUGAACAUGUGUGGUGGUGGUAAUGUAAGCAGGAAGCUAAGCUGGGGAAAGUGCCGACUCUUUUGCUUUAUUUUUCCCCCGGAAAGGCAAGCUGGUAGAGGGGCAGGGGGUGCAUAUCUUCCUACUGAGGAAGCCCAGAACAAAGCCUCCUGCCCUCUAAUGGGGUUGCGGGGGGGGGGGGGGAGGAAGAGAAGGGGAGGGACUAGGAGUGGACAAGUGUUGAGUGUGGACUCAGAGUAGAGAGAAAUGGACAAAAGAUGGUAAAUCUUUAUUUUUGUUAAUAAAUCCAAAAAUAAUUCGUAGCCCUUCUUGGCUGGAAGAGUCAUCAAAACUAGGUUUUGUGUUGAAUAAAAGGAGGAGAAAAAGCAGGACUAUUUAUCAGUAAAAGAUCAGGAAGGAAAAAAAAAUACAAUGAAUAAGAAUAGGAAUUCUUGUUGUGGCUCAGCAGAUUAAGAACCCGAUAUAUUGUCUAUGAGGAUGUGGGUUCGAUCCCUGGCCUCACUCAGUGGGUAGGAUCCAGCGUUUCUGUGACCUAUGGUGUAGGUCAGCAGCUACAGCUCUGAUUUGUGACCCCUAGCCUUGGAACCUCCAUGUGCUGUGGGUAUAGCCUUAAAAAGGCAAAGAAACAAACAAACAAAAAAGACAGAGGAGUAGUAUUUAAAGUAACUCUUUAGAAAGAUAAACACCAAUAAGUACCAAAAAUAUCACUUUUAUGUUUAACAUGACACAAGUGAACUUAUCUAUGAAACAGAAACAGACUCAGAGACAUAAGGGAACAGACUUGUGGUUGCCAAGGGGGUGGGAGAGGGAAGGGAUGGAGUGGGAGUUUGUGAUUAGCAGAUGCACACUAUUAUAUAUACAACAAGGUCCUACUGUAUAGUACAGGGAACUAUAUUCAGUAUCUUGUGAUAAACCAUAAUGAAAAAGAAUAUGAAAAAUAGUAUAUACAUGUAUGACUGAAUCACUCUCCUAAACGGAAGAAAUUAACACAUGGUAAAUCAACUAUAUUUUGAUAAAAUAAAUUAAAAACCCUACCAUAUAGAUAAAAAAUAAAGUAACUCUUUAGUCUUGCCAUUUGAGUCAAACUAUGAUUUAAAAAAAGCCAAUAGGCUUCCAAUAGUUCACAUGAAUUAGUCUGUAACCGCUUCCUCAUUCGUGAUUCUAUUUGUGGUCAGUAAAGUCAUGGUGCCUCAUUAAUACGCUUUUUUGUUUAUUUGUUUUUUAAAAGCACAAAGGAUUCAUGAUAGUCAACAUCCGGAUACAUGAAGCAGAGCGCAAACUGCUAUUUCACUUUUAACAACCAUAUUUUUAGUAUUCAAAGAAUUCAGUGAGGAUAUAGGUUUCUUAAUAACUUAAGAGGGAAGAAACAUAGAAAAAAGGCAAAGGGAAACUCCAGUCCACGUGCAAGUGGUUUAUUUCUUUUAUCCUGAUGUUUUGGAUUCUAUCCAUGUUCAUCCAGGCCUGUGCUUAAUCUGGAUUUAGUUCCAUGGCUGCUUUAUGGGUCUAGUUGAAUGAGAAAUAUCUUCAGGGUAGGAAAUAAGAAUCUAUCUUUAACACUACUAGGUUGUGGAAACCACUCUCUACAUAUACAAAAACUUCAAUGAUUAAUACAAUAAUUACCACUAUUAUUUUCUAUUGUUUAAAUACUAGAAAACCAGUCAUUAUUAUUUUGCAAAAUGCCGCACACAAGCACAAGGUGUUGAUUCUAAAGUGAAGGAAACUGAAAUAUAUGAUUUCCCAGCAGAGGGACUCUUGUGGACUUGAAGAGGUUGAAGAGACCUGCAGGGAAUCCAGUUUUCUCCAGAUAUACGCCCAGGAGUGGGAUUACCGGAUCAUAUGGAGAAUUAGAAGAAGAAUGACAAACCAAGCCCAAAGUCAGCAGAGGAAGGAAAUAAAUAAAUAUCAGAGAGAAAAUAAAAUAGAGAUAAAAAAUUAAAAAAAAACAAUAAAACCAAGUAUUGGUUUUUUGAAAAGAUAAACAAAAUUGAUAAACCUUUUCCUGGGCUCACCAAAAAAUGGACCCAAAUAAACAAAAUAAGAAAUGAAAGAGGAAGAAUAACGACUGAUACCAAAAACAUACAAAAAAUAAGAUAAUACUUAAAUAGUUAUACGCCAAAAAAUUGGACAACAUAGAAGAAAUGGACAAGUUUCUAGAAACAGAGCCUGUCAAGAGAGAAUCAAGAAGAAAUAGACAAUUUGAACAGACCAAUCACUAGAAGUGAAAUUGAAUCUGUAAUAAGUAGCUGCCAGCAAACAUAAGUCUAACACUGGAUGGCUUCACUGGGGAAUUCUACCAAACAUAUAAAGAAGAGAUUAUUCAUAUCCUUCUCAAACUACUUCAAAAAACUGAAGAGAGGGGAACACUCCCAAAUUCAUUCUGUGAGGCCACAAUUACCUUAAUACCAAAACCAGACAAAGAUGCUAUAAAAAAGAAAAUCACAGACCAGUCUCUUUGAUGAAUACAGAUACAAAAAUCCUCAACGAAAUAUUAGCAAACAGAAUCCAACAGUACAUAACAAGGAUCAAGUUGAAUUCAUUCCAGGGUUACAAGGAUAGUUCAACAUACACAAAUCCAUCAAUGUGAUACAUCACAUUAACUUAAGGAAAGACAAAAACCACACAAUCAUCUAAGUAGACACAGAAAAAGCAUUUGACAAAAUUCAAUAUCCAGUCAUAACAAAAACUCUCCUCAAAGUUGAUAUAGAGGGAACAUAUUGCAACAUAAUAAAGGCCAUUUACAACAAACCCACAGACUAGAUAAUACUUUAUGGUGAAAAGCUGAAAGACUUCUUGCUAAAUUCACUAACAAGACAAGGAUGCUCACUCUCACCAAUUCUCUUUAAGAAGGUAUUUAAAUCAUAGUCACAUCAAUCAAACAAGAAAAAGAAACAUAUCAAAAUUGAAAGAGAAACAGUAAAAUUGUCACUAUUUGCAUAUGAUAUAUACUCUAUAUAAAGAUCCCUAAAGUCUCCACCCAAAAACUAUUAAAAUAAAUGAAGCCAGGAAGAUUUCAGGAUACAAGAUUAAUAUACAGAAAUCUGUUGCAUUUUUAUAUACUAAUAAUGAAAUAUAGAGAAAGAAAUUAAAAAAACAAUCCUGUUUAAAGUCCCAUCAAAAAAUAUCUAGGAAUGAACUUAACCAAGGAGAUUCAAAGACCCUUAUUCUGAAUGUGAUGAAACAUUGAUGAAGGAAAUUAAAGAUGAUUCAAAGAAAUGGAAAGUUAUCCUGUGCCCUGGGAUUGGAACAAUAAUUAAUUUUGUUAAAAUGGCCAUACCACCCAAAGAAAUCUACAGAUUUAAUACAAUCCCUCUCAAAACAGUCAUGGCAUUUUUAUAGAACUGUAGCAAAUAACUCUAAAAUUUAUAUGGAACCACAAAAGACCCAGAAUUGCCAAAGCAAUCCUGAGGAAAAAGAACAAAACUUGGUGCAUAACUCCUCCAUACUUCAGACUAUACUGCAAAGCUACAGUAAGCAAGAAGUUUCUGCUUAUGGUGCAGUGGGUUAAGAAUCUGAAUGCAGAAGUUCCAACUGUUGCACAGGUGCAGGUUCGAUCCCUUGCCCAGUGCAGUGGGUUGGAGGAUCCAGUGUUGCAACAGCUGUGGCUGGGGCUCUGAUUCAAUCCCUGGCACUAGAAUUUAAAAUAAAAAUUUAAAUUUAUUUUAAAGUAAAAAUUUAUGUAAAAAUAAAUUUAUAAUUUUUACAAAAAAUUAUUUAAAAACAAAAAAAAAAAUUUAAAAAAAGCUACAGCAAUCUGAACUGGAUGGUAUUGGCACAAAAACAGACUUGUGGAUCAAUGAACAGAAUAGAGAGUCCAGAAAUAAACCCACAUACCUAUGGUCAAUUAAUCUUUGACAAAGGAGGCAAGAAAUUACAAUGGAAAAAAGAUAAUCUCUUCAACAAGUGGUGUUGGGAGAGCUGGAGAGCUGCAUGUAAAACAAUGAGUUUAGAACAUUCCCUCACACCAUCUACAAAAAUAAAGUCAAAGUGAUUUAAAGACCUAAAUGUAUAACAUGAAACCAUAAAAUUCUUAAAAGAGAAUAGAGAGGGAAUGCUCUUUGACAUAAAUUGUAGCAAUAUUUCUUGAAAAAAGUCUUUUCGAAUGAAAAUAAUAGUGCUUUGAUUUUAAAAUAUAUCUACACAUAUGACUAUUAGAUGACUAAAUGAACCCUGUUUUAUUAUUUUAAGUAUAAUAACGCUUCUUGGAUUUAAUGAUCUAGACUGCUAGACUUUACCACAACAUUUAAGAUCUAAACAUGAACACAACAGAGUAAUAACCUCAUUCCAGCAGAGGAAAUUCCUCCACGUGUUAAACUUGGGUAACAAAUGUUGGAAUUUUAAUUCCUUCUAGAAGCACCUUCUAGUUGGCAUCUGAGGCCAUCCAUAGUUAUGAGAAUUAUUUUAAAAUUUCAUUCAAAAUAAGCUAUGCAAAAAGGUGGUGGUUUUCCUCUUCAGUGGGUCCUCAUUUUUACAAUGUUCAAACUGCAUGUUUUAUUGAAUAUAGUUCCUAUAAGAAGAAUAAUAUCAUAAUCUUAUUGAAUACCCUUAGGACAUCACUAAAAAUGAAGCUAAUUUGCAUUGGCAGUUAGAUUUUGUUGUAUUUUAAUACAGCUCUAAUGCAAUAAUAUUCCUUUACUAGUGACUUUUUUUAAAUACAUUUUUUUCUUAUUGACAAUUAUACACCCAAGUCUUAUGAAAUUACCUUGAGGAGUUCCAGUUGUCCAUAUGGGAAUGGUAAUUAGGUUUAUUAAUCGGCAAUAUUAUUGUAACAAGUCUCUGUGCAUUAGGUGAAUUUUAAUAAAAAUAAGGUUAGACCUUUCCUUUGCCAGAUUUUAACAAAUUCCAAAGUGAGUUAGGGUUUCUUUUGUACAGAAUCAUUAAGAGCAUCAUCCUUCCUUCUUGCUUAUACCCGAAUAGAAAAACAGCAACAUCAAGGAACUUCAAUCCUGCUUGCACGGUUUUCUUUCCUUUUAGAUCUUCUGCUUACAACAUCAACAACAGACAUAUCAGAAGCAUGUGUGGCCACUGCAAGGGUCUCACAGCUGUCCAGUCACACUUCAGUCCUCCACAGGGCAGGGUAAUAUAUCUCAAGUUUGAGCAAAAUAUUAGAGUAGAAAAUCACUCAGUUAAUUUACUAUUUUUUUUGUGCUGAAUUCGUACAUGUGAAGAGGAAAAUGGCGUCUGGGUGACCGGUAGUCUCAACUCUCUUAUCAGGAUUACAUCCUGCACAUGGCUGGUAAUCCGACAACCGGGGCACAUCAGCAAGUCUUAGAGCACUGGGUGCCACAGGGAUGGAAGGCAUCUAAGUAAACAUUUGUUCUGUGGAACAUGGUGUAAUAUUCUGAUGACAUUGGAGAGACCAGCCUUAUUCUCUGAGCAGUAGCAAGCCUUAUUUUGCAUUCCCAGAUGCAGGGUUCUUGAUGACCAGCUGAAAAUAACAAUAACUUCAUCCAGUGAGUGUGAACAAUAGUAGAAACUAUAGUUUUUAUUGUUUUAUCUGUAGAAGAUAGAUUUCACCUCGAAUAGAUACUCUUUUGAAAUUAGGUUGUGAUGAUGAUGUACAACUGUAAAUAUAAUAAAAUUCAUUAAAAAGUGAAAAACAUAAAUGAUCUUCAUUAAAAAAUUACUAGGUUAGCAGACAUUCUCUGUUCCCUUUGAGAUAUGUACUGAGUUAUGCCCUAAUCAAUACUUGAGAAAGCACUCUGCUUCUUAUGAAACCUGUGCACCUCUGCUCCCACUGAUUGAGUUGUUUGUUUGCUAAGAGUCAUUUAAUAUCUAUUCCCAAGUUUAUUCAGUUGCACUUUCUAUUGCAAUUGCAUGGUUUAGAAAAUCAUUCUACAAAUGGAUAAAACCAUUUGAUUAGUGAAAACUCAUAAAAGAGAAGUUCCCGUCGUGGCUCAGUGGUUAACGAAUCCGAUGAGGAACCAUGAGGUUGCGGGUUCGAUCCCUGG